GAAAAUAUUGAAUUAAAUAUCUCAAAAAGAAGUUUUUAAUCCAUUAUUUUGUUAUAUAUUAAUGAGUCAUUAUUUUAUCAUAUUAAUGUGUUUUAUGCAAAUUGAAUAUGGCCAUUGAAUGACUACUAUUGGCCGUUUCCUUCCCUUAGUUUGGCAAAUGGUGAUUGACCAUUUUCAUUAAUCUUUACUCAUAUUUAUUAUUAAUAAUAUUAUAUUAAUAUAGCCUUAAUGGAUAAUGAAUACAAUUCAGCCAUGAAUGGUCUUUAGACCGUUGGAGUUCUUAUUCUUGGUUGAUUUUCAUUCCCUAUAUAAUAAUUUUUUAGGAUAACACUUUAGAUAGAUUUGGUAUUGCUGGGUUUGUAUAAGAGAAAUAUUUGUUAGAUUCUGGCUCCUAGUUUUGUACUAGACGAGCUUGUUGAAUCCUGGGGGAUACACUCAUACCGGGUGAAAUAUCCUUAAGGACAGUGUCAUUGGCAUGCCUCAAGCUACGAAGAAUUCUUUACAAUUGUUCGUGAUCAAGUAUUUUCCUCAAGCUUAGAAGAAGUUCCUACAAGUGUUCGUGUUGAAGAGAAGUCAUUACAAGUGUUCGUGAUGAAGAGAAGUCCCUACAACUGUUCGUGAUGAAAUAUUUUCCGUAAAGUUUCCAACAGAAAUAUCUGUCCAUGUGCUAACUGACGGUGCAAUCUCUCUCUUUUGGCAUUUUCUUUUGCUUCUUGCUUCUAUAAUAAAACUUUGAAGAGAAUCUUAGUUUCUGCAUAGACAAAGAUUCAUUUAAAUAUUGUUGUUAUUUAUGAAGAUGGGUUUCAAGGAAGAUAUGAGAGACUUGGUCGAGUUAAAGAUUUCUUUUAAACAAAGAUCAUCACGUUCUCAAUUCCAAUGACUUUCCAGGCGGUAAAGAAACAAACAGUUUAGAGGAAAUCUUUAUCGUGAGUCGUGACGGGUAAACUUAUACUUAGUUUUAGAACCGUGUAACUUUGAUAUGAAUAUAAUUAUGAACGUAUUAAGUUCCCUUUGCUAGGGAGUUUUGUUCUUUAAUUUUAUCGUUUGUGUUUUUUCCUGAGUGUAUAGUCUAUUAUCUGUUGAAAAAUUAAUGUUGAGAUUAAAUGUUUGAUUAUCCAAAUUUAUAGUUUCCUCUUAAAUGUCAUAAUAGAACUGCCCCCUUUCUUAUUUAUUAGAAGAUUCGUUUGUACUCUCUUCAGUUCAUAUCAUGAUCAUAGGCUGCCUAACAAAUGAUGUGACAUUGUGAUACAGUUGUUCUCUCUCAUUUUUCAUGCUUACAGAUUUUUUUUAAACAAUCAUCUUAUUGAGUUGUUGCCAUGAAAUCUGUUGACAGACAGAUCCCAAACACAGUUCCACAGAGAAUUAAGGAGUACUUCACUCAGAUAUGUGGAGGAGGCAAAGCUGCUACAGUUUUUUCUAACGGCUUGAACAGGAAAUUUGGGGGUUGAUUGCAGCUAUGCAGGUUCCAAACAAAUUGAAUGCUCUGCCCUAGGAGAUCAUCACUAUUUGGGAGGACAUUUGCCUUUUGAUAGCAUCCAUCAUAGAAGCUGUGUUUUUAUUCCUAGGCAAUGGACCACAUGCAGUCAUCAGGUAUUUCUUUAUGACAAGGAGAAGCUUCUUGAGAAUUGUGAUCGAGGGGAAACUGAGAUUGCAGGGAGUGUGAUCUGAAAGCCAUUAAUAAAAUUGAGGGAAACUAUUGAAGGUUGUGUGCAUUUUUUCUUCCCCUUGCCGUUUCAUCGUCAAGAGAGCUCUGUUUUAUAUACAUGCAAAUUAGUAAAAGUAUAGAACAACAUCUUAUUAAAUUAUUAGGAGGUUGAUGCUACUGUUUUUCGAAUUAUAGGGUGGCAUUAU